rnacentral:lncRNA from 1 species
GAGUAGGGCUGAUUGGAGCCAUUGUACAGUGUCGGGAACAUACCAGGACACUGAGAAUAGUGUCAUGUCAUAAGGACCCAGAGCAGAUGGACCCUGCUGUGAUGCACAAAGGGAUGAAAUGGGAUUUUGUUGGCACCAAGACCUGAUUGCUUUGCCAGUUACCCUCACCCCUGGCUCACAAGGAAAGUGUAUGGAGGAGAUUCUCGAGGAACCACAUGAGUUUUAAUAUCAUAAGCUUCUGCCCUGAAUUGAAAGGAGCUGGGCUGCUUGGAUCAGAGGUUCCAUGGUCUGAACUACUCCACUCUGGUGAAGGUUUCUUCCCCAAAGCCACUCCUCAAGCUGACUUAUAUUGUACCUGAGUUGCAUGCCUGUGCUCCAAGAGCAGACGUCCUUCCGCAGGAGCAGGUCAUUAAGAGUCACUGCGUUGAUCAUGUAGAAGAGCUGUUUGAAUACCUGCAGGAUGAUCUCAGGGUCCAAGCCCUGGUCACACAUGACUGUAUGAAAGGCAUUCAUCUGGCGGAUGAUAGCUUCCAGGCGGUAUGAGUUAUCCCCAUCUGCCAUGCUGGAGGAGUGCUUCUGGGAGCCAGUGGGCUUCACACCAGAUAGACCCUGAAUGCUGUCAUUUUCCAACAUGGCAGAAACUAUCAUCGGCUGUAACACACCCUCGGCAAUUUUAAAGAGCUGCUGGUAGAUCUGAAUGGAAAGGUCGCUCAGUACCUGACGGUAUUCGGUGAGGUCAAAGUUCUUAAGGCAGUGUUCGUUGUGCUUUGCUGUA